UCGGGAAUAUUGCGCAAUGGAGGAAACUCUGACGCAGUGACGCCGCGUGCAGGAAGAAGGUUUUCGGAUUGUAAACUGCUUUAGACAGGGAAGAAACAAGACAGUACCUGUAGAAUAAGCUCUGGCUAACUACGUGCCAGCAGCCGCGGUAAUACGUAGGGAGCAAGCGUUAUCCGGAUUUAUUGGGUGUAAAGGGUGCGUAGACGGGAAUGCAAGUUGGUUGUGAAUCCUCGCUCAACCGAGAAUUGCACAAACUAUAUUCUUGAGUGCUGGAGAGGAAAGUGGAAUUCCUAGUGUAGCGGUGAAAUGCGUAGAUAUUAGGAGGAACACCAGUGGCGAAGGCGACUUUCUGGACAGUAACUGACGUUGAAGCACGAAAGUGUGGGGGAGCAAACAGGAUUAGAUACCC
rnacentral:rRNA from 1 species